CCCUUAGAUGUCCUGGGCCGUACGCGCGCUACACUGACAUGUUCAACAAGCCUCCUAGUUCGACAGGAUUUGGGAAAUCUUUGAACGCAUGUCGUGAUAGGGAUAGAUCAUUGCAAUUAUUGAUCUUGAACGAGGAAUUCCUAGUAAACGCGAGUCAUCAGCUCGCAUUGAUUACGUCCCUGCCCUUUGUACACACCGCCCGUCGCACCUACCGAUUGAAUGUUUCGGUGAAGAUUCCGGAUAGGACUUUUUUGAUUUAUUUCAAUUUUGUCUUAAAAGCUAUCUAAACCUCAACAUUUAGAGGAAGGUGAAGUCGUAACA
rnacentral:rRNA from 1 species